rnacentral:rRNA from 1 species
CCUACGGGAGGCAGCAGUGGGGAAUAUUGCACAAUGGGGGAAACCCUGAUGCAGCGACGCCGCGUGAGUGAAGAAGUAAUUCGUUAUGUAAAGCUCUAUUGCCGGGGAGCAACGGGCGUCACGUGUGGCGCCACUGAGAGUACCCGGAGAAAAAGCAUCGGCUAACUCCGUGCCAGCAGCCGCGGUAAUACGGAGGAUGCGAGCGUUAUCCGGAUUUAUUGGGUUUAAAGGGUGCGUAGGCGGAUCGUUAAGUCAGUGGUCAAAUUGAGGGGCUCAACCCCUUCCCGCCAUUGAAACUUGCGCUCUUGAGUGGAAGAGAAGUAUGCGGAAUGCGUGGUGUAGCGGUGAAAUGCAUAGAUAUCACGCAGAACCCCGAUUGCGAAGGCAGCAUGCCGGCUUCCGACUGACGCUGAAGCACGAAAGCGUGGGGAUCGAACAGGAUUAGAUACCCUUGUAGUC